UACGUAGGGUGCGAGCGUUAAUCGGAAUUACUGGGCGUAAAGUGUGCGCAGGUGGCCGCGCAAGUCGAGUGUGAAAUCCCCGAGCUUAACUUGGGAAUUGCGCUCGAAACUACGUGGCUCGAGUGUGGCAGAGGAAGGUGGAAUUCCACGUGUAGCGGUGAAAUGCGCAGAUAUCAGGAGGAACACCGGUGGCGAAGGCGGGUCUCUGGGCCGAUACUGACGCUGAGGAGCGAAAGCGUGGGGAGCGAACAGG
rnacentral:rRNA from 1 species